rnacentral:rRNA from 1 species
AUUGAACGCUGGCGGCAUGCUUUACACAUGCAAGUCGAACGGCAGCGGGGGCUUCGGCCUGCCGGCGAGUGGCGAACGGGUGAGUAAUGCAUCGGAACGUGCCCAAGUCGUGGGGGAUAACGUAUCGAAAGGUACGCUAAUACCGCAUACGUCGUGAGGGAGAAAGCGGGGGAUUCUUCGGAACCUCGCGCGAUUGGAGCGGCCGAUGUCGGAUUAGCUAGUAGGAGAGGUAAAGGCUCACCUAGGCGACGAUCCGUAGCGGGUCUGCGAGGGUGAUCCGCCACACUGGGACGGAGACACGGCCCAGACUCCACAGGGAGGCAGCGGUGGGGAAUUUUGGACAGUGGGCGCAAGCCUGAUCCAGACAUGCCGCGUGAGUGAAGAAGGCCUUCGGGUUGUAAAGCUCUUUCGGCCGGGAAGAAAUCGCACGGGCUAAUACCCUGUGUGGAUGACGGUACCGGAAUAAGAAGCACCGGCUAACUACGUGCCAGCCGCCGCCGUAACAC